AAAAAUGUACUAUGAAAGAGAGAAGAAGAGAAACCAGUCAAACAAUGCAUUUUAACAAACCAAGCAAAGAAGAUUAUACAGAAAGAAAAAGAAUAC